UGAAUAUCCUUUCUGGGCUGGAGUGAUUGAAUGUUUAGUAUACUUGCCUCAGACUCUUUCGUUACUUCAUUUGCCAGUUGGAUGAAACCAGAGUGGCAUCAAAGACCAUGAUGGUAGAGCCGUGAGAUGGAAUCAGAUUGUUGAGAGAGAGUAUCUCAUGUGUAUUCAUCUUUAAUGUAUCCUGACCUCAGAUAGACCCAGAGAGAGGUUUCAUCAAAAGAGUAGGUGACAACUUGACUAAGUCUUGGGGACACAUAUGGAACAGAGGACAUGAUAUUCAAGCAAGAGGAGCCCCAUGGAGGAAAAGGUCAGCUGCAGAACCAAGGGCAUGCUGUUUCACAGGGAUCAGCCCUGCUCCCAGCUGCAGGUGACAGAAAAGUCAGCUCAAAGUGGCUACCAAAACAAGAAACCCCACUGACAUUCGGACUGGAAAUCAGAAGUGGGAGGCUUGGAUCCAGCAGUCCAUCAGGGACCCAGGCUCUUCAUGCCUCUCCUCUCUGCCCUGUGUUCUUCAUCCUAGACCUGGAUCCCCUAUGUUCUUGCGAAGGCCAUCAGGAGCCACCUGGUCAUCUGCCUCCUCUAAGAACAGAUUCACUUUGCUGUACACCUGAAACUAAUACAACACUGCAAGCCAACUAUGCUCCAAAAAAAAGAAAAAAAGGCUUUGACAGAACCUUCAGCCACCUUCUUCUUAAGUCUGACUGA
rnacentral:lncRNA from 1 species